rnacentral:rRNA from 1 species
AGAGUUUGAUCCUGGCUCAGGAUGAACGCUAGCGGCAGGCCUAACACAUGCAAGUCGGACGGUAACAUAAGGUGCUUGCACUUUGAUGACGAGUGGCGCACGGGUGCGCAACGCGCAUAGAACCUACCCUGUACAGGGGGAUAGCCCAGAGAAAUUUGGAUUAAUACCCCGUGGUAAAUAUAAAUGGCAUCAUUUAUAUUUUAAAGUUUUCGGAUGGUACAGGAUGGCUAUGCGUCCUAUUAGUUAGAUGGUGAGGCAACGGCUCACCAUGGCAGCGAUAGGUAGGGGCCCUGAGAGGGGGAUCCCCCACACUGGUACUGAGACACGGACCAGACUCCUACGGGAGGCAGCAGUGAGGAAUAUUGGACAAUGGGCGCAAGCCUGAUCCAGCCAUGCCGCGUGCAGGAAGACGGCCCUAUGGGUUGUAAACUGCUUUUAUACGGGAAGAAUAAGGGACACGUGUGUCCUGGUGACGGUACCGUAAGAAUAAGGACCGGCUAACUCCGUGCCAGCAGCCGCGGUAAUA